CCCGAGAGGGUCAGUUUCUGGCCACUGAUAACAUGUUCAACCACAGGCAUUCCAGCACAGUAUCAAGGUAGUAACAUGCUCCAAUACUUAACUCUAACCAAACACACACACACACACACACACCUCUGUGACCUGCAGCCACCCAAGUUCAACGUGGGAAGCUGGACAGCCUUAAUCCAUGAGCACUGCCACAGGAAGGAUGCAUAUAAAUCAUUACUAAUCUUUAGGGCCUGAUGGUAAAAUAUGCCAACAUCAACUCAAAGUGGCUUUCCUCAAGUUAAAAGGCGGAGUUCAAACAAACAGUGUGUGUGUAGAGUGUUUCCCCUGAAGUGUGAGUCUACCCUGAAGACUGAUAGUGUUUUACAGCUUGGAGGUCAGUAUGGCUCUUCCCCAUCUUCCCUAACCCAUAAGGUACGGCUCCUCCUCCUUAUGACCCAGUCUGUCAGGUAGGUACUCCCCCUCCUCUUUAUGACCCAGUCUGUCAGGUAGGUACUCCUCCUCUUUAUGACCCAGUCUGUCAGGUAGGUACUCCUCCUCCUCUUUAUGCCCCAGUCUGUCAGGUAGGUACUCCUCCUCUUUAUGACCCAGUCUGUCAGGUAGGUACUCCUCCUCCUCUUUAUGACCCAGUCUGUCAGGUAGGUACUCCUCCUCCUCUUCAUGACCCAGUCUGUCAGGUACUCCUCCUCUUUAUGACCCAGUCUGUCAGGUAGGUCCUCCUCCUCCUCAUGACCCAGUCUGUCAGGUAGG